rnacentral:rRNA from 2 species
UCUGGUGUCAGCCGCCGCGGUAAAACCAGCACCUCAAGUGGUCAGGAUGAUUAUUGGGCCUAAAGCAUCCGUAGCCUGCUUUGUUAGUUUUCGGUUAAAUCCAUACGCUUAACGUAUGGGCUGCCGGGAAUACUGCAAAGCUAGGGAGUGGGAGAGGUAGACGGUACUCGGUAGGAAGGGGUAAAAUCCUUUGAUCUAUUGAUGACCACCUGUGGCGAAGGCGGUCUACCAGAACACGUCCGACGGUGAGGGAUGAAAGCUGGGGGAGCAAACCGGAUUAGAUACCCGGGUAGUCCCAGCUGUAAACUAUGCAAACUCGGUGAUGCAUUGGCUUGAUGCCAAUGCAGUGCCGCAGGGAAGCCGUUAAGUUUGCCGCCUGGGAAGUACGUACGCAAGUAUGAAACUUAAAG